rnacentral:rRNA from 1 species
AGUGAACGCUGGCGGUAGGCCUAACACAUGCAAGUCGAACGGCAGCACAGUAAGAGCUUGCUCUUACGGGUGGCGAGUGGCGGACGGGUGAGGAAUACAUCGGAAUCUACUUUUUCGUGGGGGAUAACGUAGGGAAACUUACUCUAAUACCGCAUACGACCUACCGGUGAAAGCAGUGGAUCUUCGGACCUUGCGCGAUUGAAUGAGCCGAUGUCGGAUUAGCUAGUUGGCGGGGUAAAGGCCCACCAAGGCGACGAUCCGUAGCUGGUCUGAGAGGAUGGUCAGCCACACUGGAACUGGGACACGGUCCAGACGCCUACGGGAGGCAGCAGUGGGGAAUAUUGGACAAUGGGCGCAAGCAUGGUCCAGCCAUACCGCGUGGGUGAAGAAGGCCUUCGGGUUGUAAAGCCCUUUUGUUGGGAAAGAAAAGCAGCAGGUUAAUACCCCGCUGUUCUGACGGUACCCAAAGAAUAAGCACCGGCUAACUUCGUG